AUACGGAGGGUGCAAGCGUUACUCGGAAUCACUGGGCGUAAAGCGCGCGCAGGCGGCUAUUUAAGUUGGAUGUGAAAGCCUACAGCUCAACCGUAGAACUGCAUCCAAAACUAUUUAGCUAGAGUGUGGGAGAGGAAGAUGGAAUUAGUUGUGUAGGGGUAAAAUCCGUAGAGAUAACUAGGAAUACCAAAAGCGAAGGCAAUCUUCUGGAACACUACUGACGCUGAGGCGCGAAAGCGUGGGGAGCAAACAGGAUUAGAUACCCUAGUAGUCC
rnacentral:rRNA from 1 species